rnacentral:lncRNA from 1 species
AAACAUCAUAAAAAUCCUUUUUAUAAAAGGGUGUCAAGGAAGGGUAAUCAAUUUUUCCAAGGAAGGAAAUGCAGCAAUGGUUUAGCACACAACUCCUAUCACCUAAUGCAUCAUAUAAGGUGAUAAAGAUUUUAAAACAGCAAGGAGGUGGCAAAUGCACCAGGGCUUGUCUGGAGAACAUUAGGUUAGUGUUUGUUAGAUGACGUCCACUUGACGAUCGUCCUUUGUCCUAGCACUUGAUCAGGCAGGUUCGUCUAUCAGCAUCACCAUGCGGAGUAGCCCACCCGUUAUGUCAUCCUGGGGUCGACUUGGGUCGUCUUCCGCAUCACAAGAUCAACUAGCGCACCUAAUGAGAUGCAUAAUGCAUAUGUAUGAGCAUAAAGUAAACCAGAUGAUAUAGAAAAGAGAAUCAAACACUUAGCGGCAAGACAUCGACACAAUCCUACAUAAGCACUAGACACCUAUAAUUCGCUAAACACAACAAUCACGAUUUUCUAGUUUUACUAGAUUUAACUCAAACAUCAAAGAACAAUAAAUUAUACGCACGUCUGCUUUCCUUAGCUAAGGCCCAACACCAAAAGACUAUCAAACCUAGAUUCAUUUAUUAGGAAAACAAUAGACCAUAUGAGUUCCACCUUUCUAUUUGACUAAAGCAUAAUACCGAAAGACUAAUUACUUAGACUCAUUAUUUUGGGACACGAAACUCGAAGUAUGAACCGAAAUAACUUAACUAACUAUUUAAACCAAUCUUUUUAAUUAAUCCUUAAAAUAUCCUAACUAUUAAAACAUCACACUAUACUUAAUCUAUCAAGUAGAGCAUCAUCUCACCACAUAUAUUUUACUAAUACCCUGAUCACAUAAACCUGAAAUUCAACUUUAACCUCCACAUCAAAUAAUAGACAAUAGAAUCAUCGCAAUAGAUGCAUCUAUUUAAUCCAACCAUCUAUCUAAUUGAUAGGAAUAACGAAUUAACUCACCAUAACUAAACUCGACCCGAAUCUGCCAGGUCGACGAUGAUCCUGCGUAUGAGGACACGAACUUGAAGGGUGGCGUGACAAAAUUAUUGGAACGGCAGAGUCGUGGACGUGGUUGCUGUCGAGGCGAGUGACGUCUGCAACCUUCAGCAAGAACGACGAUGACACGAGCCUGUAUUGCGCAGAAUAGCACGUCGGCGAAGUUCAAUGGCGAGGUUCGAGCAUGGCUGAUGACACUGUUGUGGAAGUCAAAGGCGGUGGCAGUCGCAAACUAGUCCACGGCAAGGUCGAGAAGAAAGCCGACACGACAGACUUGCAUGUGCGGGAGCAUGACCAAAAUAGGGACAUGGGUGUGGCCACGAUCAUCGGCGCCGGGAACCGAAGGCAGGGGAAAACGACAUAUCAGGAUCACCGGGAUGACAAACGGAACCAAGCCGACGAUGUGGUGAGCAUGUAGGUCACGUCACAGGAGAGGUGCACUGUGCACGGUGAGGGAGCUUGUCGAGGUAUACGCAAACGACAUGGCCGAGCUAGAAACUAAGCGCCGGCGAGCUGGAGCGCCGCAGGGACUGACCGGCGGCUAAGCGAGUUGGGACGCACGGUUGGAGUGGUGAGCUGCUUGACAAAUCAGCAGGAGCAAGAAGCACAGCGGCCAUGGGAAGCAGGGGAGGGAGCUCGGACUAGAGAUGGAGAGCGCCAGCACAGGGGAGUAACGGCUGGGUGUGCGCAGGGAGCUCGGCAUGGGCGCCGCACUGGAGAGGGCGCAGUCCGAGCAGGAAAAUCCCAGGCGCGCAGAGCUCCGGGCGGGCGAGCUGAGCGACGGCGCAGGAUGCGGCACUAGGAAGAAGGCCGAGCUGGGCAGGGACCAGAACACAGGGGAGGAGGGAGAUCCGGGCUGGGGCGCAGGGAGAACGUCGGAGAGGCAACCAUGGAAGAGAGCUGGAGCUUGGAGCAGAGGAAGGCCGCCGAGCUGGGUCCGAGCUAGGGGCGCACUCGCGCGGAACCAGGGAGAGGGUCACGAGCUGGAGGAGCUCAGCUGGACGC